UACAGAGGUCUCAAGCGUUGUUCGGAUUCAUUGGGCGUAAAGGGUGUGUAGGUGGCGCCGUAAGUCAGGGGUGAAAUCCUGGAGCUCAACUCCAGAACUGCCUUUGAUACUGAAGAUCUUGAGUUCGGGAGAGGUGAGUGGAACUCCGAGUGUAGAGGUGAAAUUCGUAGAUAUUCGCAAGAACACCAGUGGCGAAGGCGGCUCACUGGCCCGGUACUGACGGCUGAGGUGCGAAAGCGUGGGGAGCAAACAGG
rnacentral:rRNA from 1 species